AACGAACGCUGGCGGCAUGCCUAACACAUGCAAGUCGAACGAGACCUUCGGGUCUAGUGGCGCACGGGUGCGUAACGCGUGGGAACCUGCCCUUAGGUUCGGAAUAACUCCCCGAAAGGGGUGCUAAUACCGGAUAAUGUCUUCGGACCAAAGAUUUAUCGCCUUUGGAUGGGCCCGCGUUGGAUUAGCUAGUUGGUAGGGUAAAAGCCUACCAAGGCGACGAUCCAUAGCUGGUCUGAGAGGAUGAUCAGCCACACUGGGACUGAGACACGGCCCAGACGCCUACGGGAGGCAGCAGUGGGGAAUAUUGGACAAUGGGCGAAAGCCUGAGCCAGCAAUGCCGCGUGAGUGAUGAAGGCCUUAGGGUUGUAAAGCUCUUUUACCCGGGAUGAUAAUGACAGUACCGGGAGAAUAAGCUCCGGCUAACUCCGU
rnacentral:rRNA from 1 species